GACAGAGGGUGCAAACGUUGUUCGGAAUUACUGGGCGUAAAGCGCGUGUAGGCGGCUUGGCAAGUCGGGUGUGAAAGCCCUGGGCUCAACCUAGGAAGUGCACUCGAAACUGCCUCGCUGGAGUGCCGGAGAGGAAAGCGGAAUUCUCGGUGUAGAGGUGAAAUUCGUAGAUAUCGAGAGGAACACCGGUGGCGAAGGCGGCUUUCUGGACGGUUUACUGACGCUGAGACGCGAAAGCGUGGGGAGCAAACAGG
rnacentral:rRNA from 1 species